GACGAACGCUGGCGGCGUGCUUAACACAUGCAAGUCGAACGGAAAGGCCCUGCUUUUGUGGGGUGCUCGAGUGGCGAACGGGUGAGUAACACGUGAGUAACCUGCCCUUGACUUUGGGAUAACUUCAGGAAACUGGGGCUAAUACCGGAUCGGAUCUCCUGCUCCAUGGUGGGGGUUGGAAAGUUUCGGCGGGUGGGGAUGGACUCGCGGCUGAUCAGCUUGUUGGUGGGGUAGUGGCAGACCAAGGCUUUGACGGGUAGCCGGCCUGGGAGGGUGGCCGGCCACAUUGGGACUGAGAUACGGCCCAGAGUCCUACGGGAGGCAGCAGUGGGGAAUAUUGCACAGUGGGCGGAAGCCUGUUGCAGCAACGCUGCGUGCGGAAUGCCGGCCUUCGGGGUGUAAACCGCUUUCGCCUGUGACGAAGCGUGAGUGACGGUACUGGGUAAAGAAGCACCGGCUAACUACGUG
rnacentral:rRNA from 1 species